rnacentral:lncRNA from 10 species
AAUAAAUGUUGGAAGGAAAUAAAGUUACAACCAACUCUUGUACUAUUGUGAGGAAACAAUCAUAUGUGUUGACAAAAAAAUCAGCUACUAAUAGAUUUAUAAUAGUAUAUAUGUAGCAGAAAAAUAUCAGAUAUAACUUAUAUACCCAAAAGUAUGACUUAAAAACAGCAUGACAAUCUUUAUGAUGGGAUAUUGUGCAACUACUAGAAGCACAUUUUCAGAGAUUAUUUAUUAACAUAUGAUAAUGACUACAUUGAGUGGUUUUUAGAAGCAUGAAUUGAAACCAUGUAUAAGCAUGACUUUAUUGAACUUAAAUAUAACAUUACACACACAUUUACAUAAUUAUAAAAUAAGUAUGCUCAUGUUCAUAAUAUGUAUUUAUUUAUAUUCAUAUGUAAGGCCAAUAGGAAGUAAUCUCUGUAUCUGAGUUAUUAUUUCAUAAAUAAUUUAUGCUUGUUCUGUGAAAAUAAAAACACUGCUAUGGAUCUUCCAAGUAUCCUGAAAGGAUACCGUUUAUAAUUAAACAAUAACAAUUUUAGAAAUAAUUAUUUUAAAUAAGGCUAUGAUAAAUCUGGUUUCAUUGCACACUUUAACUUUGGAACAUUUCAUGAAACGUCCCUUGAUCACGACUCUCAUAUUCAGGAGUUUUUUGAGAUCAAAAUGGGACAAUCAGUAUGAAUCUAUUUUUUAGACAUGCAAAUGGAUAACUUUAAAUAGCAGUAGCGAUAUAAUCAGAGUGCACAGUUGCUCUGGGACAAAACUUGGAAAUGAGCAUAUUUUUAGAUUCUUAAUGUUUUACACACUUUAGCAUUCCACAGCACCAUUACAUACUCAUUUUUCUACUAGAAUACCUUGGUAAAAAUUCACAGUAGAGAUCAGGCUUGUCCUUCAUACAUUAACUAAUCAAGUAGGAAAGUGCAAAUGAGAACACAGUGCCAAACAUAGGCACCACAUGGAAACAAGCAUGGAACUGCCAGGAAGCCAUUUUUGUAGAUUUGUAGCCCAAUUAUAUUUUUCCUAAUGUAUUGCACACAAAACUUGGGGGAAAAAAAAGAGGCAGAGAGAAAACAGGUUAUAUCAGCCCUAUCUCACAAUCCACAAGUUCAUCCUGUUAGAGGAGUAACUAUGUAAAACAAAUUUUAUCUGUUGAAUGUCCUAUUUAGUUAAUCGCAAAACUGUAUGAGAACACACUUGUGACUUAUUUAGCAGCUUGUUUGUUCGCUUUCCACUGGCUUCACAAAUGUCCUUUGGAAAUAGAAUGUACAUUUGGAACCUUGUACACCUUUUCUUUCUCCAGUACCCUCUUGUCACUUCCAUCACUAAGGUGACAGAAGCAACUAGGGGCAAUGCAUUUGUAGCACACCUGGGUCAGAGGUAUCCUCCAGGGGAAGGAUCAGACCUGCUUGAAAGCAUGUCGUUGGAAUUGGGAGGCUUCUAGUAGCUAUAACAUAAGCACUGAUGUUUACUCUUCCCUGCCCUCCACUUUGAUCACUCUGGGAAACGUUUUUUUUUCUUAAAAAAUCAAUUGUAUUGAAAGAUAAUUUACAUAAAAUAAAUACUAUUUUAAAGUGCACAGUUUGCUGAGUUUUGCCAGAUGUAACCAUCCAGGUGAAUAAAAUUGAUUAAACUGAUCUUUCAAAUAAUAAAUUAACUUUGCAAUCUUGCUAGAAAUUUAAUUUGUUCACAGUUUAUUAUCCAUUCUAUGUACUGCUACAUUCAAUUGGUUAUUAUGUUUUAAGGACUUUUGAGUCUAUGUUUAUGAGGGAUAAACAUCAAAGUUGUAUAAUGCCUUUGUCUCGAUUUGGAAUCGGCAAUACUGGGUUCAUAAAAUAAGAUAGGAAAUGUCCCUUUAAAUUUUCUUUUUCUUUUUUUUUUUUUUUUUUUUGAGACGGAGAUUCACUCUUGUUGCCCAGGCUGGAGUGCAAUGGCACAAUUUCGGCUCUCCACAAUCUCUGCCUCCCAGAUUCAAGCUAUUCUCCUGCCUCUGUCUCCCGAGGAGCUGGGAUUACAGGUAAGCGCCACCAUGCCCUGCUAAUUAUGUACUUUUAGUAGAGAUGGGGGUUUCUCCAUGCUGGUCAGGUUGGUCUCAAACUCCUGACCCCAGGUGAUCUGCCCGUCUUGGCCUCUCAAAGUGCUGGGAUUACAGGUGUGAGCCACUGUGUCCGGCCCUUAAAUUCUAUUUCUUAAAAAGAGUCCGUUCAAGAUUGAUGUUAUAGAUACUCCUCAACUUACAAUUGUUUUAUGUCUUAAUGAACUCAUCCUAAAUUGAAAAUAUUGUAAGUCUAAAACGCAUUUAAUAUAUUUAACCUACUGAAUAUCAUGACUUAGCCUCGCCUACCUUAAACUUGCUCAGAACACUUACAUUAUCCUACAAUUGGGCAAAAUCAUCUACCACAAGGCCCAUUUUAAAAUAUUGAGUUUCUCAUGAAAUUUAUUGAAAACUAUACUGAUAGUGAAAAACUGGUCAUAUUGAUGCUCAUCAUUAACGUACACAGAUGAAAGCACCAUUAUCAAGUAAGAAGAGCACAAGUCAAACCACUGCUGGUGUGCAAUGGUGCGAUUUCCGCUCACUGCACUUCCACCUUCCGGGAUUCAAGCCAUUCUCCUGCCUCAGCCUCCGGAGUAGCUGGGACUACAGUCAUGUGCCACCAUGCCCGGCUAAUUUUUGUAUUUUCAGUAGAGGCAGGGAUUCACCACAUUGGUCAGGCUGGUCUUGAACUCCUGACCUCAAGUGAUCUGCCCGCCUCUGCCUCCCAAAGGGCUGGGAAUACAGGCAUGAGCAACUGCACCUGGCCUGGAUUAAUUGAAAAUUUUCUCCUGUAGAUUGUAAUAUAUUAUUAUUGUUAUCUAUUUUAUUGCCCCAAUUUUCUCAAAUUUGGCUAUGGAAGUUUAUUCAAAGUGGAUCUGUUUCCCUUUCACAUUUUCCCCAUUUUGUGAGCAUUUCCUUACUUCCUAACAUGACAAAAUAUUUCAAACUAAUCUUGUAUUUUCCCUGCCCAAUCCUGAUAUCAAAUAUGUCCCCAAGGAGCCUUGGUUCCUUUAAUUGGAGAAUGGUGUUCUCAUUGUUACUGGGAUGAUGUUGUUUCUAGGCCCUUUUGUUAGAGGAGCUAGAAAAUAUAUGUAUGUAUACUCACACAUUUAUACACAUCUGUACUUAUUUAUACAAUUAUCCAUCUGUACGUAUACUAAAAACAAUGAUUUCAUGAAACUUUUGAUCCCAAUCCAACACUAGAUAAAGACUAUAUAGGCCCAUUUAUUUGCAAAUCAGCACAUAAACAUAGAAGAAUUAUUAACAAUAUAAGCUGUAGCUUAUGCUAAAUGUUGGUUGGAACAGACAAUAAGUUAUGGAGAACUUCAGAGGACACUAAGGUUGGAUGGGAUUUUGGAAGUUGUACAGGUCAAUGCCACUCCAUCUAUUGGCGAGUUUCACUAGGUUAAUACAUGAACAACAACAAAAAUAACCUAGAUCAGAAGUUAAAGGUCAUUUUAUUGACUAUCUGCCGUGUCUGUGCCAUUGCAGUGUACUAGGUGCACUUACGAGUCCUCUACUUACAAACUGCUUUUCACAAAAUAUGAAACUCCAGGCAAAGGUUCAGACAUAUGACGUUUGUUUUUAAAAUCUUUCUACAGCCUUGUAUCCUUUUUCCUUUCCUUCCUUUUACCCUUUUUAAAAUGUGUUAUGAGUUUUAUCUUAGACUAACAUCAUCUGUAAUGUUGCUAUACGCCAGUAUUCAGUUGCUGUGUUUGAUGAAUCAUAAAAUGGUGUAAAACUUCAAUUAAUGUACUUUUUAAAUAAAGUAUCUAUGAAUGCAUCCAGCAAAAUGUUUAUGAUUUGAGUAUUCACACAAUAUUACUUUUCUCUGGAUCUAACAAUAAUGUGAAAACGCAAAAUGAAUAUAAAAUAUUAGCUAAUAAUAGAUUUCAAAGUAUUGUACAAGUAUGAAAAAUAUAUGAUAUUGUUACUUUCAUAUAUGUAAAACAUUAAUAAUUUUUGUCAACAUAAACAUCAUCUUUACACCUAAACUUGUAUUAAUUCAAUUAAGAGUUAAUAUAGUAUCCUAAAGUC